GGAACAUCCAGAAUUUGAAGAGGUUGGAAAACAAAUUGCAGACAAGUGCAAAGGGUUGCCUUUAGCUCUAAAAGCACUUGCUGGUAUGUUACGUAGCAAAUCAGAGGUGGAUGAGUGGAGAGACAUUUUAAGAAGUGAAAUAUGGGAGCUUCCAAGUUGUUCGAAUGGUAUAUUACCAGCACUAAUGUUGAGCUACAAUGAUCUUUCUGCCCAUUUAAAGCAGUGUUUUGCUUAUUGUGCAAUAUAUCCCAAAGAUUAUCCAUUUAGGAAAGAACAAGUUAUUCAUCUAUGGAUUGCCAAUGGUCUCGUACCAGUGAAAGAUGAAAUAAAUCAAGA
rnacentral:misc_RNA from 1 species